GCGGGAAUGUAUAACCAAUUGCUGAAGUAGCUGGGCGGACCUUCCCCUCCUACUUAAUGUACUUUUUUGGUUGGUCGCAGUACGCCACACUCACCUCGACCUUUAAUUUGCGUAGGUUUGUUUGUAGUAAAUUGAACGAACCACACAAUGUCGAAGGAGGCCCCCCGUGAACCAGAACAGCUCCGCAAGCUUUUUAUCGGAGGGCUUAGCUUUGAAACGACAGACGAAAGCUUACGGGCCCACUUCGAACAAUGGGGGUCGCUUACAGACUGUGUGGUAAUGAGAGAUCCCAACACAAAGCGAUCGCGGGGGUUCGGGUUCGUCACGUACUUUUCGGUGACCGAGGUCGACGCGGCUAUGGAAGCCCGACCACACAAGGUUGACGGCAGAGUCGUGGAGCCAAAAAGGGCAGUUUCUAGGGAGGAUUCAAACAGACCAGGUGCACACAUGACCGUGAAGAAGAUCUUUGUUGGAGGCAUCAAAGAAGACACGGAAGAGUCUCACCUGCAAGACUACUUUGAACAGUUCGGCAGGAUCGAGGUCAUCGAGAUCAUGACCGACAGGGCCAGCGGCAAGAAAAGGGGCUUUGCUUUCGUAACGUUUGACGACCAUGACGCAGUGGACAGGAUAGUUAUUCAGAAGUACCACACCUUGAACGGGCACAACUGUGAAGUGAGGAAAGCGCUUUCCAAGCAAGAAAUGGCCAGCUCCGGUACGGGGCGAGGAGGUGGUAAUUUCGGAAGAGGUGGGGGAUACGGAGGAGGAGGAAAUGAUUUUGGCCAGGGUGGAUACUUCGGUGACCGUGGUGGCAGAGGUGGCUAUGGAGGCGGUGACGGAUACAACGGCUUUGGAGGAGAUGGUGGUUACGGUGGAGGUCCUGGCUACGGGGGUAACCGUGGGUACGGCGGCGGGCAGGGGUACGGCAACCAGGGUGGAGGCGGCGGCGGCGGCUAUGGCGGAAAUGGAGGAUACAACGGUUACAACAACGGCGGCGGCGCCGGUGGCGGCGGCGGCGGAAACUUUGGCGGUGGUGAGUCCGCAAACUUUGCCGGUGGAAACUUCGGGGGCAGCAGCUACAACGACUUCGGGAACUACAACAGCCAGGGCUCGUCCAGCUACGGCCCGAUGAAGGGGGGCAACUUCGGGGGCGGGUCCAGGAACAGCGCCGGCCCGUACGGAGGUGAGCGACCGCGUCUUGCGGGCGGGGCGGGUGGGCGGGCGGGGCGAGUAGAGCAGACGUUCCGCGCCGAUCGGUGGACCGCCACGGCCCGGCUUUGCGCUCAUCUGGUUGCCCGUUCUGCAGGUGGGUACGGCGGAGGCUCCGGCAGUGGUGGAUAUGGCGGUGGCAGCAGCGGCGGUGGCGGCGGAGGCCGAAGGUUCUAAGGCGCGUCCGUAGGGGGGGAAUCUGACCGGACCAAUACACCUGCACAGGCAGCAUGAUGCACAGUCUGACCUGCGGUUGUUUCUACAAAGGAGAACAGAAGAGGAAUGCAUAUUUUGCACAACACUGAAGGCUGCUGGACAGUUUUUGUUUGUAAACCUUUUUUUAUUGCGUUUUUUUCCAAUAAAAAAUAUUUUUAAACAAA